GCUGGCGGCGGCUUACACAUGCAAGUCGAGCGGAAACGAAGGGAGCUUGCUCCCAGGCGUCGAGCGGCGGACGGGUGAGUAACGCGUAGGAAUCUGCCUGAUAGAGGGGGAUAGCCCGGGGAAACCCGGAUUAAUACCGCAUACGCCCUUAGGGGGAAAGGAGGGGCUCUUAGGACCUUUCGCUAUCAGAUGAGCCUGCGUAGGAUUAGCUAGUUGGUGUGGUAAAGGCGCACCAAGGCGACGAUCCUUAGCUGGUCUGAGAGGAUGAUCAGCCACACUGGGACUGAGACACGGCCCAGACUCCUACGGGAGGCAGCAGUGGGGAAUAUUGGACAAUGGGGGCAACCCUGAUCCAGCCAUGCCGCGUGAGGGACGACGGCCUUCGGGUUGUAAACCUCUUUUAGCAGGGAAGAAGCGAAAGUGACGGUACCUGCAGAAAAAGCACCGGCUAACUACGUGCCAGCAGCCGCGGUAAUACGUAGGGUGCAAGCGUUGUCCGGAAUUAUUGGGCGUAAAGAGCUCGUAGGCGGUUUGUCGCGUCUGCUGUGAAAAUCCGAGGCUCAACCUCGGACCUGCAGUGGGUACGGGCAAACUAGAGUGCGGUAGGGGAGAUUGGAAUUCCUGGUGUAGCGGUGGAAUGCGCAGAUAUCAGGAGGAACACCAAUGGCGAAGGCAGAUCUCUGGGCCGUAACUGACGCUGAGACGCGAAAGCGUGGGUAGCAAACAGGAUUAGAUACCCUGGUAGUCCACGCUGUAAACGAUGAGUGCUNAGGUGUCGCAGGCUUUGGACCCCUGCGGUGCCGG
rnacentral:rRNA from 1 species